rnacentral:lncRNA from 1 species
GCGGUGGGCGGAGGGAUCCCCGUCCGCGGGGCAAAGGAAAAUAAGUCAAAGACUCAGAAGGCAGCGUGAAUCCAGGGCCCGGGAUGCAGGGUUUGCUGGAACGCCAGCCGGUGCGAUCGCGCCCCUGGGAUUCCGCUUAGCCCGCGCGUCCAUUUCCCUGCACGAUGGACUCAGUAAAGCCGGAUCUGUCCAACGCCUGCAGCGUGGAUGUGGAGGCGGACUAAUCAACCGGUGCUCUGUUAUUAUUUCUACCCAUCCCUUUUCUCCAUGCUAAUUUGCUUAGAACUUUAACAUUGAAUGGACAGCAAAUGUCAUGUUCUGUUUAAUUAUCACUCCUUGACCAUUAUGUUAAUUUCUUUCCCUAACAAGGUGACGCAUUGUUUUAAGUAACAAUGACCAACUCAUCUACUCUUCUUCCAAAUUGUGUAAAUUGAAGGGUAAAAUGUGGGAAAAAAAUUUUAGCUGAAUUUGAAUGCUAAAUUUGAACAUUUCACACAACAAAAAUUUGAAAUGCUUCUUUGCAAUAUUAUGGCGUUUCGGAACAGAUAAAAAUACUUCAUUUUCAGACAUUUGGUGAACAAAUACUUCUUGGACGUUUAUAUGCAAAGCAAUGCAUGUAACAUUUUCAUUACUUUGCAAGUGUGCUUAUCAGUAAAAUAAUUUUGUUUUAAAUUCUAGCCUUCGUUUAAAUGUAUUUUAGUUACCACAUUGGGAAGAAAAUAAAAUAUUACUGUGUACGGA